rnacentral:pre_miRNA from 1 species
UGGCCCAUUUUGGCACUAGCACAUUUUUGCUUUUGUACGUAUACUUUGAGCAAUUAUGUGUAGUGCCAAUAUGGGAGG